rnacentral:rRNA from 1 species
CCCUUAGAUGUCCGGGGCCGCACGCGCGCUACACUGAAGGAAUCAGCGUGGCUUUCUCCCUGACCCGAAAGGGUUGGGAAACCCGUUGAAUCUCCUUCGUGAUAGGGAUUGGGGCUUGAAAUUGUUCCCCAUGAACGAGGAAUUCCCAGUAAGCGCGAGUCAUAAGCUCGCGUUGAUUACGUCCCUGCCCUUUGUACACACCGCCCGUCGCUCCUACCGAUUUUGAGUGGUCCGGUGAACCUUCUGGAUUGUGCGACUUGCCGCGCGAGAAGUUAUGUAAACCUUAUCACUUAGAGGAAGGAGAAGUCGUAACA